UGCAGAGGUCUCAAGCGUUGUUCGGAUUCAUUGGGCGUAAAGGGUGCGUAGGCGGCUCGGUAAGUCGGGUGUGAAAUCUCGGAGCUUAACUCCGAAACUGCAUUCGAUACUGCCGUGCUUGAGGACUGGAGAGGAGACUGGAAUUUACGGUGUAGCGGUGAAAUGCGUAGAUAUCGUAAGGAAGACCAGUGGCGAAGGCGGGUCUCUGGACAGUUCCUGACGCUGAGGCACGAAGGUCAGGGGAGCAAACGGG
rnacentral:rRNA from 1 species